rnacentral:rRNA from 1 species
GACGAACGCUGGCGGCGUGCCUAAUACAUGCAAGUUGAGCGCUGAAGGUUGGUACUUGUACCAACUGGAUGAGCAGCGAACGGGUGAGUAACGCGUGGGGAAUCUGCCUUUGAGCGGGGGACAACAUUUGGAAACGAAUGCUAAUACCGCAUAAAAACUUUAAACACAAGUUUUAAGUUUGAAAGAUGCAAUUGCAUCACUCAAAGAUGAUCCCGCGUUGUAUUAGCUAGUUGGUGAGGUAAGGGCUCACCAAGGCGAUGAUACAUAGCCGACCUGAGAGGGUGAUCGGCCACAUUGGGACUGAGACACGGCCCAAACUCCUACGGGAGGCAGCAGUAGGGAAUCUUCGGCAAUGGACGAAAGUCUGACCGAGCAACGCCGCGUGAGUGAAGAAGGUUGUCGGAUCGUAAAACUCUGUUGGUAGAGAAGAACGUUGGUGAGAGUGGAAAGCCCAUCAAGUGACGGUAACUACCCAGAAAGGGACGGCUAACUACGUG